rnacentral:rRNA from 1 species
GUCGAGGGGUAACAGGAUUUAGUUUACUAGAUUGCUGACGACCGGCGCACGGGGAGAACGCGUAUACAAUUUACCUUUUACAGGGGGAUAGCCUUUAGAAAUGAAGAUUAAUACCCCAUGGUAUUAUAGAGNGGCAUCACUUUAUGAUUAAAGCUUCGGCGGUAAGAGAUGAGUAUGCGUCCUAUUAGCUAGAUGGUAAGGUAACGGCUUACCAUGGCGACGAUAGGUAGGGGUCCUGAGANGNANAUCCCCCACACUGGUACUGAGACACGGACCAGACUCCUACGGGAGGCAGCAGUGAGGAAUAUUGGUCAAUGGAGGCAACUCUGAACCAGCCAUGCCGCGUGCAGGAAGACGGUCCUAUGGANUGUAAACUGCUUUUAUAGAGGAAGAAACCUAUCUACGUG